GGGUGACCCUGAGGUGGAGACCCAGUAGCACAUGGGGGGAGGUGGCAGUGGGGACAGUGGCACCUCGGUGGUGGCACCUCAGGGUGACACACAGAGGUGGGUGGCACCCCCAGGUCAGCUGGCCCCCAAAUGUCAUCUGCUCCGUCACCUUGCGCAGGGAUGAGUGGGCGGGGCCAGAGGUGGGCCCAGGCAUCCGGCCACCACCCCCUGGCCCCAAAAUGGCCAGGAUUCACCCCAAAACCUUCCCCCUAACGCCACACGCUCAGAGGGCCCGGGCGUCCGGGUGAGAUUUAUUGCGCUCGGUUGGGGGGGGUGGAGGGGUGCUGCCCCUCCCUUAAAUAACAGUGAUAAAUAGAAAAAACCCCAAAUUAAAUAAAUCCUCCUUAAAUAAAUAAAAUAGAAUAAAAUAAAUAAGCAGGGGAAGGGGCAGGGCAGCACCCAAAGGUGACGGGUGCCACCCCACGGGUGACAGGAGGGUCCCCGAGGCCCCGGUGACGGGCGCCGCCCCUCAGUGGGCUGCGGCAGGGCUGGCGCCUCCCCGUCCUCAGGGUGCUGUUGGGCACCCACAGCCCUGUGGGUGUCUCCCAAACCGUCCUGUCCCCAGGUGGGGGGGGGCCCAAGGGAGGGGUCCGGACAGGUGUCCUGGGUGUCACUGGGGUCCCAGCGGGUGUCCCAGUGGGUGUCAAUGGAGUCCUGACUGGUGUCACGGGGGUCCUGACAGCUGUCCCAGGAGUCCCGACAGGUGUCACGAGCGUCAUGGGGGUCCUAAGAGGUAUCAUGGGUGUGCCAGCAGGUGUCAUGGGUGUCCUAUGGGGGUCCCAGCAGGUGUCACAGGGGUCCUGGUGGGUGUCACUGGGGUCCUGACGGAUGUCCCAGCAGUCCUGUCAGGUGUCACGAGUGUCACGGGGCUCCUGGUGGGUGUCACUGGGGUCCUGACGGAUGUCCCAGCAGUCCUGUCAGGUGUCACGAGUGUCACGGGGCUCCUGGUGGGUGUCACUGGGGUCCUGACGGAUGUCCCAGCAGUCCUGUCAGGUGUCACGAGUGUCACGGGGCUCCUGGUGGGUGUCACUGGGGUCCUGACGGAUGUCCCAGCAGUCCCGUCAGGUGUCACGAGUGUCACAGGGCUCCUGGUGGGUGUCACUGGGGUCCUGACGGAUGUCCCAGCAGUCCCGUCAGGUGUCACGAGUGUCACAGGGCUCCUGGUGGGUGUCACUGGGGUCCUGACGGAUGUCCCAGCAGUCCCGUCAGGUGUCACGAGUGUCACAGGGCUCCUGGUGGGUGUCACUGGGGUCCUGACGGAUGUCCCAGCAGUCCCGUCAGGUGUCACGAGUGUCACAGGGCUCCUGGUGGGUGUCACUGGGGUCCUGACGGAGGUCCCAGCAGUCCCGUCAGGUGUCACGAGUGUCAUGGGGCUCCUGGUGGGUGUCACUGGGGUCCUGACGGAUGUCCCAGCAGUCCCGUCAGGUGUCACGAGUGUCACUGGGGUCCUGACGGAGGUCCCAGCAGUCCCGUCAGGUGUCACUGGGCUCCUGGUG
rnacentral:lncRNA from 1 species